rnacentral:rRNA from 1 species
CCUACGGGGGGCAGCAGUGGGGAAUAUUGGGCAAUGGGCGCAAGCCUGACCCAGCAACGCCGCGUGAAGGAAGAAGGCUCUCGGGUUGUAAACUUCUUUUCUGAGGGACGAAGAAAGUGACGGUACCUCAGGAAUAAGCCACGGCUAACUACGUGCCAGCAGCCGCGGGAAUACGUAGGUGGCAAGCGUUAUCCGGAUUUACUGGGUGUACAGGGGGCGCAGACGGCGAUGCAAGCCAGGAGGGAAAGCCCGGGGCCCAACCCCGGGGCUGCUGUUGGAACUGCGUGGCUGGAGUGCGGGAGAGGCAGGCGGAAUGCGUGGUGUAGCGGUGAAAUGCAUAGAUAUCAGGAAGAACACCGAUGGCGAAGGCAGCAUGCUGGACUGCAACUGACGUUGAGGCCCGAAAGCGUGGGGAGCAAACAGGAUUAGAUACCCUUGUAGUC